AUGAACAGGGACCCAGCUUCCGGAGCUGAUUUGCAUACUCAGACAUUAGCCACAGUGCAGAUUCUACAAAACAUCUUUAAAGGCAGCUUACCACUGCCCAAGAAGCAGCUUAUAGUACAGCUCUCAGAGAAGGGGUCUGCUCUUCUGCUGUGGGUACUGCUGCUUUGGGUUCCAGGAUCCACUGGUGAUAUUGUGCUGACCCAGUCUCCAGCUUCUAUGGCCAUGUCUUUUGGACAGAAGGCCACCAUCUCCUGCAGGACCAGCAAGAGUGUCACUGAAUAUGGCAAUGAUUACAUGCAUUGGUACCAACAGAGACCAGGCCAUCAUCCCAAACUCCUGAUCUCUUUUGCAUCUAACCUAGAAUCGGGAGUCCCUGCCCGGUUCAGUGGCAGUGGGUCAAGGACAGAUUUCACCCUCACCAUUUAUCCUGUGGAGGCUGAUGAUGCUGCAACCUAUUACUGUCAGCAGAGUAAAGAGCUUCCUCCCACAUUUGUAGGAGGAUCUGAUUUGAUUUUCACAAGAUGA